CAAAGGCCCUGUACUGGGACAACCCACAUGUGCUCUCACCCUGCCAUGAGCACCCAGACUCUCUGCUGGGUGGCCCUUUGCAUUCUGAUGGCGAAGCACACAGAUGCUCAGGUCACCCAGACACCCAGGCAUGAGGUGACAGAGAUGGGACAAGCAGUGAUUCUGAGAUGUGAGCCAAUUUCAGGCCACAACGACCUUUUCUGGUACAGACAGACUGUGGUACAGGGCCUGGAGCUGCUGAUUCACUUCAGCUAUCAGACUCCCAGGAAAAAUGCAGGGAUGCCCAAGGAACGAUUCUCAGCUCAGAUGCCUGACGCCUCAGUCUCCACUCUGAAGAUCCAGCCCACAGAACCCGGGGACUCAGCCACGUACCUCUGUGCCAGCAGCACAGACACAGCGCCGCAGGAUCCUCCCCUCCCUGUGCACAAACCCUGA